rnacentral:tRNA from 2 species
GAUGAUGUAGUUUAAUAGGUAGAACGUGGGAAUCAUAAUCCUAAUGUUGUAGGUUCAAAUCCUACCAUCAUUA